rnacentral:rRNA from 1 species
CGCUCCUCUUGUUAACGCGAAGGGUUUCAGGUUAUUGUACAGUUUACAGCGGGAAGCGCCCGAAUUAUGGCCCUAAGGAAAUGGCUCUAGAGCAUUCAAGCGCAAUGGAGGUAUCGCAAUCGCCUCGAUCCUAGGUGCAGGCAGACGCCGGUAACGGAGGUCAGGCUUAUCGGAAUUCUGGCUAAGCGCGCGUAGGUGUUUUAGUGGAUUGAAAGCCUGGCUCACUAGACUGCAUCCAAACUAGAUGCUAGAGUACGUAAGAGGAGUAGAUUCACAGGUAGCGGUGGAAUGCGUAGAUAUGGGAAGAAUCCAAUGGCGAAGGCAGCUUCCUGGUUCUGUACUGACCCGAGGUGCGAAAGCGUGGGUAGCGAACAGGAUUAGAUACCCUGGUAGUCACGCCGUAAACGAUGACAACUAGCUGUUGGGAGACAAGAUCUCUCAGUGGCGCAGCUAACGCUUUAAGUUGUCCGCCUGGGGAGUACGACCGCAAGAUUAAAACUCAAAUGAAUUGACGGGGACCCGCACAAGCGGUGGAGCAUGUGGUGUAAUUCGAUGCAGCGCGAAGAACCUUACCAGGGUUUGACAUCCUGCGAAUCUCUUGGAAACGAGAGAGUGCCUUUGGGAACGCAGUGACAGGUGGUGCAUGGCUGUCGUCAGCUCGUGUCGUGAGAUGUUGGGUUAAGUCCCGCAACGAGCGCAACCCACGUCUUUAGUUGCCAGCAUUUAGUUGGGCACUCUAGAGAGACCGCCGGUGAUAAACCGGAGGAAGGUGUGGAUGACGUCAAGUCAUCAUGCCCCUUACAUCCUGGGCUACACACGUACUACAAUGCUACGGACAAAGGGCAGCAAGUUCGCGAGGACAAGCAAAUCCCAUAAACCGUGGCUCAGUUCAGAUCGUAGGCUGCAACUCGCCUACGUGAAGGAGGAAUCGCUAGUAAUCGCAAGUCAGCAUACUGCGGUGAAUACGUUCCCGGGCCUUGUACACACCGCCCGUCACACCAUGGAAGUUGGCCACGCCCGAAGCCGUUACUCCAACCCUCGGGAGGAGGACGUCGAAGGUGGGGCUGAUGACUGGGGUGAAGUCGUAACAAGGUAA